rnacentral:rRNA from 1 species
CGAAGCCUUUGGUCUUUUGAUCAUUCGGCAAUGUGGUGUUCAGGUCGAUUCGCGGAAACACUGCUCCACCCCAAGUCCAGCAAUGAGUACGGUUUUUCAUUCAUGGCCCAGAGAGGGUGAAAGGCCCGUAGGGGUGGAGGUCAGGCAUGCUAGUGUUUUCCUGAACAGACCUUGGAGUCGGGUUGUUUGUGAAUGCAGCCCAAAGUGGGUGGUAAACUCCAUCCAAGGCUAAAUACAAGCACGAGUCCGAUAGCGAACAAGUACCGUGAGGGAAAGUUGAAAAGUACUUUGAAGAGAGAGUAAACAGUGCGUGAAACCGCUCAGAGGUAAACGGAUGGAGUUGAACUGCAAGCUCUGGGGAUUCAGCUGAUGAGUGUGAUAUGUGCUUGGUUAUGCUGGUUGGACACUGAGGUCUGUUUAGCUACAGGUCUUUACCUUCUGGUAGAGAUGCGCGAGGCACUUAACAUGUGUUGUGCGCCUCUGUGUUCUUCGAACCAACUUGUCAGUGCACUUUCCCAGAGUGGUCACCACGACCGGCGCUGCUGUCUGACUGUUGCGGUUAAACCGGUUUGGCAUUGCCUUUGUGGUUUUGUUGAAUCGGGAUGGCAGGUAGCUCGUUGGCUUGCCUGUAGGUUUCUGCAGGUGUUUGGCUUUCGGGUGUAAUCAGCUGACUGCGAUGGUUCUGUGCAGUGUGUCGGAGACCGCGGCUUGUGGUGUGUGCGUGCGUUCCAUUUGCUGGCAGAGUCGUGUUUGGUCACUGUGUCGCUUGUUUUGCAAGCCCGGUGAUGGCGCGGUUUUGUUCGGUGAGUGGUCGUGUGUGCCACUUUGAAGGGCCAACAGUCAGUGGUGUAGUGGUAGACGAUCCAUCUGACCCGUCUUGAAACACGGACCAAGGAGAGUAACAUGUGCGCGAGUCAUUGGGCGUAACGAAACCCACAGGCGCAGUGAAAGUAAAGGUUUGGCUUGUCCAGACUGAGGUGAGAUCCUGUCGUUUCUCAUACGCUUGCCACCAAGCAUAGAGCGUCAGGCGCAUCACCGGCCCGUCCCAUGACGUGGUCACGGCCGUUUGGCUGGUGCAUCGUUGGGGCGGAGCAUGAGCGCACAUGUUGAGACCCGAAAGAUGGUGAACUAUGCA